GCCCGGUUAGCUCAAUCGGUAGAGCGUGAGACUCUUAUUCUAAAUAGAAUCCAAAUCUCAAGGUUGCGGGUUCGACCCCCGCAUUGGGCU